rnacentral:tRNA from 1 species
GUCCCCGUAGCUCAAUGGACAGAGCGUUGGCCUCCGGAGCCAAAGGUUGUGCGUUCGAAUCGCACCGGGGAUA